rnacentral:rRNA from 1 species
GAUGAACGCUGGCGGCGUGCCUAAUACAUGCAAGUCGAACGGAGAUUGUAGCAAUACGGUCUUAGUGGCGAACGGGUGAGUAACGCGUUGGUAACCUGCCCCGAAGCGUGGGAUAACGGUCCGAAAGGACCACUAAUACCGCAUGUGAUCCCGAGGAAUAGAUACUUGGGAUGAAAGGAGCAAUUCGCUUCGGGAGGGACCUGCGUCCCAUCAGCUAGUUGGUAGGGUAACGGCCUACCAAGGCGAUGACGGGUAGGGGACCUGAGAGGGUGGCCCCCCACAAUGGAACUGAAACACGGUCCAUACACCUACGGGUGGCAGCAGUAGGGAAUAUUGGUUAAUGUGCGAAAGCGCGAACCAGCAACGCCGCGUGUGCGAUGAAGGCCUUCGGGUCGUAAAGCACUUUUUGCAGGGAAGAGGAAGGACGGUACCUGCAGAAUAAGUCUCGGCUAACUACGUG